GAAGGAGGGAAGUGGCCCGUCUUCAGCUCCUGAGCAACUUCGGCGCUUCGGCUCCCGUACUGCUGACUAUUCGGAUCUUUAGGGCAGAACACGAGACGGUCAACUCGCUGCUCCGCGGACCUGACUGCGUUCUGAGAGAAAGUUUCCCAACCCUGGUCUACAAUAUAGUUGGAUUCGACUACAAAGGAUCUGGGCUAGGAAGAAGGAAGUAUGACUGCCUGGUAAGGAAAGGAAAAGAAAGCGGGAAACACUGGAAAAAUAAACGAGUUCUUUCCUGUGAAGCCAAGGCCAUCUGCAUCAGGCACAUUGGAAGAUUGGACAUGCUUAAGAAACCUCGAGGCCAACGCUGAUAUUCAACAUCAACACCCUUCUUGCUAGUCUAACCUAUCUACAGAAACACAAGAAAAAAAAUUUCCAUGUAAAAAAUGGUAAACGGCAGUUGAAGAAUAUCAACAAUUAUUGACAGUGAGACUUUUGAAAGGCUGCAAAUGAAUCAAAAAAAAAAAAAAAAAAAAGCCAGAGAAGAAAAGAAGCAUCCAUAAUAUAGUCUCAUCUUCCGUAACUCUUACUACCAACGUGCACGACUCAGGUAAACAACACAGAGAUCAUCUCAUACAAGCACAAAGGAAGCAUGAAAAAAGCUGAACCUGAGCAUCAGGAGACCCUCUGAGACUUUGCCCUGGCUGUUCCGCUAACUGCCUAUGUGUGAUGAGUUGUCAAGUCUCCAGGGUCCCUCAACACUUGGAAUAAGGAAAUAGGAUCUUUCCCUCUGAGAGGAGGCAGAAAGAAAUACAGCAAUGAAGAAAACAGACCAAAAGGCCUGCCCUCAUCAGCACAGAGGAGGAAAAACAGCUCAGAGAAAGAAUGACUUGGGCUUAGCCUAGAAGAUGUGUUGGCUGUGAACGUACUAGUGGAGAAAGCAGGGAUUAGUUGGCAAACUACUGCGGCCUCUACAGCACAGCCUGCGACCUGUUUCUUUUCAAGCUAAGAAUGUAACAUCAAGAGUAGCAUGCUCUACUCACUGGAACCAGCCAGGAGCCCGUUUUUACAUAUUUUAAAAGGAGAGAGAGAAGGAGGAGAGGAAGAGGAGAAUUAUAAAUAUGAUGAUCUGAACAACCUUGAAGGAGGAGAAAAUGUUCAAGACAAGCAAGCAGGCCAGGCUGUAAAAGGUGCGUUUGUGGCCCGUUGAGGAAGCCACACGGAGCCUGGGACGACUGGAGAGCCAUAUUCACUGGGAAGGGUAGUGAAAAGACGAAGACAGGCGAGAGACUACAGGCAAGGCUGCUGGAGUUGACGGAUUUUUUUUUCUCUGUAGGUGAUGGGAUGGCCUUGAUGGAGAGUGAAUUCAUAGGAAAUUCACUUCUGGAAAGUUGCUUCUCACACUUGAAAAAUAUGUGCUUAAUCUUGAAAGAGCUUGAAGAAGUGUUUUGAUGCCCACAACAAGAGCAGAACUGUAGAGUAUCUUCCAAAAGCAACUUUUGAAAGAGUGGGGGAGAGGCAGAGAGCGAGGGAGACAGAAUCUGAAGCAGGCUCCGGGCUCUUAGCUGUCAGCACAGAGCCCAACGCGGGGCUCGAACUCACGAACCUUGAGAUCAUGACCUGGGCUGAAGUCAGAUGCUUAACUGACUGAGCUACCCAGGCACCCCCCAAAAGGAACUUUUAAAGAAAACGUCAGCCUUUUUAUAAAAGCUCCACCCAAGCAACCUUAGAAACUCUCUUUUAGGACAUGGACCAUAUCAAACACUUGAGAUCUCCGGGUGGAUUUUAAGCACAUGUUUGCUGGAAGGGAAAUCUCAUUUGUAUCCAAUCCAAGUUCUGGUGUAACUUUUUGCUGCUGUUACCCUCAACAUUUUUUAAUGUCUAUUUAUUUAUUUCUGAGAGAGAAGAGAGAGGCCGUGGGAGGAGGAGCAGAGAGAGACAGAGAAUCCCAAGCAGGCUCCAUGCUAUCAGCUUAGAGCCUGAUGCAGGGCUCAAACUCACGGACCGUGAGAUCAUGAUCUGAGCUGAAAUCAAGCACAACUGAAUGAGCUACUCAUGUGCCCCUCCGUUUUUUUUCUUUAGGAGAGAAAAUGGAAUUUUAUUUGCAAAUUUUUUUCUGAGGUGUAACUGUAACAUGAGACAUGAACUAAAUGAGGAAUCUGACUGAACAUGGGAAGAAGGCUGGGGCCCAGAGGCAUAAAGGACUGGUUUGCUUGGGAGUUUACUGCUGUGACAGCUAGAACAAAGGCAGAAUGGAAACCUGAGCCAAUUGAAAGUUAAAUAACAAGACAAACUUUUACAGUAAAAUGAGAAAGCCUUUGAGAAUGGAAAAGGAUGUCUAAAGAGUUGGCCCUAGAGGACAGCACCCUAGUAAAAAAAAAAAAAAAAAAAAAAAAAAAAAA